AUGCAGAUAAGAAACCUGGGAAACCACAAGAAAGCCAAGUAGCCUGGGAAAAAAUGGGCAUUGAGCCACGAGCAAAAAAUAACAGUUGAUCCUGUUGGUGCCACCUGACAGCAGAGACGGCCAAGGACCCCUGAGC
rnacentral:lncRNA from 1 species